rnacentral:rRNA from 1 species
GACGCACCGUGCAAACGUUAUUCGGAAUCACUGGGCAUAAAGGGCGCGUAGGCGGCUUUCUAAGUCAGGGGUGAAAUCCGGCAGCUCAACUGUCGCAGUGCCUUUGAUACUGGAGAGCUCGAGGGAGGUAGGGGUCUGUGGAACUUCCGGUGGAGCGGUGAAAUGCGUUGAUAUCGGAAGGAACGCCGGUGGCGAAAGCGACGGACUGGAUCUCUUCUGACGCUGAGGCGCGAAAGCCAGGGGAGCAAACGGG